UUGAAGACCAGCAAGAUGCGACAUAUGCGUGUGAAGAAUUUGAGCUCUUUUGUACACAGAUGGCUCCUCAUGUUCGUUGCUGGUACAAGAUGGACGAUUUCGGAGAGGUAGAGUUGACAGGAGGAGGUGCCCCCAUUCCCGCCUCUGACUUUCCCGGUUCCAUCCCAAGUGCUCACAUUCCCAUUUAAGGCUACCAUUUAAGCCUACUUGUCUUGCAUUUAAUAUUCUAGUUUAAGGUUCCUGUUUUCAUGCACUGCCAAUUAUCUCAUGAAGGCAUGCAAAGUUUUAGUCACU
rnacentral:lncRNA from 1 species